GCCCGCCUAGCUCAAUCGGAUAGAGCGUCAGACUUUUAAGACUGUCUGACUAAUAGGCGUCUAAGGCAUCUGAAGGCUGCGAGUUCGACCCUCGCGGUGGGCU
rfam:Galerina marginata CBS 339.88 GALMAscaffold_8_Cont302, whole genome shotgun sequence.